CCUUGGGCGGUCUGUGUCCCUUUCCUCUCCCCCCCACCCCCGUUUAGUCUUUCUUUGAAUUUAGGAAGGGCUCGUUAAAGCAGAAAUUCGGGAGCUGAGAUCUGUAACGUUACUGACCUAUCGAGUGCUAGAGGGAGGCACCAGCAUGUUCAAGUUUAGAUAUCUGAUUUCCACUUCAAGUUUUACAGGCAAGUCCUAGAUGAUUAUGGUGACUAGAAAGGAGAAAAGCCCCAUGAAGAUUACGCUCAGUCCGAAUGAAGGAUAUCGUAUGCACACAGAAAAUUCACAGGAAUUGGGGAGCUUUCAAACAGAGUAUCGUAAACCAUGGAAAUUCCUGUUCCAGGGUUGAAAGAGAAUAUACCAUAGCAUGGGAUUCCAGAAAACUUUUAAUCAAACGACUUGGAAAUCAAUACUGUCUUUUACCAAUAUUUGCCAUGUGGAAAUUGAUUUUUCACAUCUAAGAGUAUAAAAUUUAUUUCUGAGUAGCAUCAGAAUAUUGAAGAUGGUGCACAAGACAAAAGCAACUAAAAAAUACGAACGCCCAGAACGGAGUUCCAGCACCUUUUUUGGAUGGAACCUUGUAAGCUAGAUGCCAACCAUCAGUUCCCCAAAAUACUGGGCAACAAUCUUUCACCUUUUGGGAGAUGAGAAGGGGAAUCCUACUCUACAGGAUAAAAAAACCAAAUAUUUUUAUUGGACUGAAGUAGCUCAUCCCAAGCUUGAUUCUCUGCUGAAAACCUGUUAAAAAUACAGAUUAUAAUUAGCUUCAACAACAGAGGCAUUAGUGCUGCCAUUUGCUGUCAUUAACUUGAAGUAGCCUUAAAAGAAAGGCCACUUGAGAAUUGUAUAUGGCACUACGUGAUCCAUCAAUACUCUACCCUUUGUCUUCCAUAUUCUCACGGGAUGUUCAUAAAUCACUUCCAUUCAGCUAAAGCUAUUAAAAUUAACUUAAUUUUCAUGUGAGGGAAAUAGAUAGAGGUAAUCCAUAGUUUUAAACAAGUUUAGGAGUCAGAUUUAUGCAAGUACUUGGGUGACACAUUAUGCAAUGCUCAUGAGGUUUGGAGAAUUAUUAUCUACUUUAAUACAGAAAGUGUAUCUAAAGAUCUUAUAACAAUCUUGCAUGUAACACAUAACUACUCUGAGAUACUGGAGGGGUUAUAAUAAUCAAAAUGGAAUUUUCUUCCAUCUUUAAAAGUUCAGUCAGUUUUAUAGUUUCUUAAUGAACAUGGUUCAGAGAUGAAUGAUAAACAGCUUAUAAACUGAAUAAGGUCUUCUUGCUUCCAGUGUCAUUCUGUUUUGAUAGAGAGAUAACAGGCUUUAACCAAUGGGGAUUUUUUAAAGUAAAAUGUUAAUAAAUUAAUAAAUAAAUACUAACAGGAAAGUAUUCUUUAAAGCUUCUUUCCCUUGCAGGAACCGAAAAUAACAUCAAGGCAUUAAAAGACUCAAGGAAUGAUUGAAUAGGCUAAAUGUAUAAAUAGAGAAUGCUUAUAAAGCACAAAGAUCCUUAAAAGCUUUUAUUAGUCCAUACUAGACAAGUACUGCAAUUACAUCAUAAAGCAUAUCAUAUCAGAUUUAGAAAAAAAAACAUUACAGAAAACAAUGGGCUAAUAUCCCUCGGUACUUCACAAAAAGAAAAAAGAAAACAAAGAGCUAAUAAACAAUGGGAUUCCAGAGAAAAAAGCACAGCAAGGAAAUUGCUGUGAAAUUUUGGUUCCAAUUACUCAAGUACAUUUUGUUCAUUAAAAGCCUGAAUAACCUGAAUAACUUUCAUGAUUAACUGGAUCCAAAACCUAACAUCCUCUUAGUCAUCUGCUUUCUAUAGAUAUGUAGAGGAUUCUUUCUCUUUUCUGUUGGAGUUAGAAUACUAUAUUUCCUCUAGAGUAUUAGAAUGCAUUGUAUUCUGGACAGCCCUUGGAUACAGCUCAGAAACUUUAGUUACUUCAGCCUACUGAGGCAAUAGAAGUUCUUCAUGGUCUUUACUGGCUUCCAGUUUACUUCAAAUCCCAAUACAAGAAGGUUGCUUUUAUUACAAAACUAUUUACAGUUUAAAAUCUGGAAAAAAAAACCCCAUCUCUUCCCAUUAUAUCCUACUCAUAAUGCCACAUUUGGAAGGCCUGUUCAGGAUAUCCUUCAACCCAGAGGCAUCUUUAUCAUCUCUUUUGGCACAAGUAAAUACUGUUAUUCUCCCAGAAGUUACAUUUUAAUCCUACUAUGAUUAUUAAUUCUUUUAUUACUGCUUGUAUUCUCUAUUAAUAUUUUAAUGCUUAUUUUGCAGAUUUUGUUUUGUAUUGUAUUUUUGUAAAACAUAUGUUUCUAUUAAUUGCUUCAACCUACAGUUUUAACUGAUAAUAGAAUUUUUAACUGUAAAUUGGGGGUUCCUUUUCAUGGGAAGCAGUUUACAAAUGUUUUAAAUAAAUACACAUUUUUAUUCUCUCUUA